UUCCCAUUAUAUAUCUGUCAGGUGCCUCAGAGUCACCUGAUGUACUGAUUAAUAAUGGAGAUUCCUGGUUUGCAUGUAGGGAAAAAGAAGAACAUGUAAGGAACCCAAAAAAUCAAAGCAAGAAUAUCCAAAGACACAAUUUUCCUUUUUCAAAAAUUUGCCUAAGGUUUGUUUUGCAGGGAAAUGGACACCAUCUAGUUAAAGCUCUAUAAGCUUGAAGAUUCAGCAUACGUGCUAGCAAAGCAAGCGCCGAGACUAAAUUUUGAAGACUGAGCUGGAAAGACGAGCUUAUCUUCCGUUAUGAUUUUGUCAUGGCACCCACCACCGACCUCUUGGCGCUUCCGCAAGUUAGGAGUCUUCCCAGCUCAGCGUGCACACAAGUCACCCGGCAGGCCGCAGCCCUCCUCCGGCCCAAGGUUCACCGGAGCGGGUGUGCAGCGGGGCCGGGGUCUGCCUUCCCGGGCAUGCGGCAGUCUGCGUGGUGCUGCUGCUGCUGCUAAGUCGCUUCAGGCCUGUCCGACUCUGUGCGACCCCAUAGACGUCCGGCAGCCCACCGGGCUCCCCCGUCCCUGGGAUUCUCCAGGCAAGAACACUGGAGUGGGUUGCCGUUUCCUUCUCCAAUGCAUGAAAGUGAAAAGUGAAAGGGAAGUCGCUCAGUCCUGUCCAACGCUCAGCGACCCAAUGGACUGCAGCCCACCAGGCUCCUCCGUCCAUGGGAUUUUCCAGGCAAGAGUACUGGAGUGGGGUGCCAUUGCCUUCUCCGUAUAUAGUAGUGAGUGUUAAUCCUAAACUCCUAAUUUAUCCUCCAUUCCACCCAGGACACACAUUCUUACGUUUUACUGGAUUAAAACAAAAAUUUGUCAGUGAUGAUGUGGUUUUGUAGCAUCAUCUGC
ensembl:lncRNA